rnacentral:rRNA from 1 species
CAGUAGCCGCGGGAAUACGAAGGGGGCUAGCGUUGCUCGGAAUUACUGGGCGUAAAGGGCGCGUAGGCGGAUGUUUAAGUCAGAGGUGAAAGCCCAGGGCUCAACCUUGGAACUGCCUUUGAUACUGGACAUCUUGAGUAUGGGAGAGGUGAGUGGAACUCCGAGUGUAGAGGUGAAAUUCGUAGAUAUUCGGAAGAACACCAGUGGCGAAGGCGACUCACUGGCCCAUUACUGACGCUGAGGAGCGAAAGCAUGGGGAGCGAACAGGAUUAGAUACCCCUGUAGUCCCUGUCUCUUAUAC